UUACGGGCAUAUCACUUUGAAAUACCGGUUGCUGUAGAUCUCCAAAGUUAAGCAACGUCGAGUCUGAUCAGUACCUAGAUGGGUGACCGCUUGGGAAGACCAGCUACUGUAAG